rnacentral:rRNA from 1 species
AACGAACGCUGGCGGCAUGCCUAACACAUGCAAGUCGAACGAAGCCUUCGGGCUUAGUGGCGCACGGGUGCGUAACGCGUGGGAAUCUGCCCUUGGGUUCGGAAUAACAGUUAGAAAUGACUGCUAAUACCGGAUGAUGUCUUCGGACCAAAGAUUUAUCGCCCAAGGAUGAGCCCGCGUAGGAUUAGGUAGUUGGUGGGGUAAUGGCCCACCAAGCCGACGAUCCUUAGCUGGUCUGAGAGGAUGAUCAGCCACACUGGGACUGAGACACGGCCCAGACUCCUACGGGAGGCAGCAGUGGGGAAUAUUGGACAAUGGGCGAAAGCCUGAUCCAGCAAUGCCGCGUGAGUGAUGAAGGCCUUAGGGUUGUAAAGCUCUUUUACCAGGGAUGAUAAUGACAGUACCUGGAGAAUAAGCUCCGGCUAACUCCGUGCCAGCAGCCGCGGUAAU